GACGAACGCUGGCGGCGUGCCUAAUACAUGCAAGUCGAACGCAUUUUCUUUCACCGUAGCUUGCUACACCGAAAGAAAAUGAGUGGCGAACGGGUGAGUAACACGUGGGUAACCUGCCCAUCAGCGGGGGAUAACACUUGGAAACAGGUGCUAAUACCGCAUAAUUCCAUUUACCGCAUGGUAAAUGGAUGAAAGGCGCUUUUGCGUCACUGAUGGAUGGACCCGCGGUGCAUUAGCUAGUUGGUGGGGUAACGGCCUACCAAGGCUGCGAUGCAUAGCCGACCUGAGAGGGUGAUCGGCCACACUGGGACUGAGACACGGCCCAGACUCCUACGGGAGGAAGCAGUAGGGAAUCUUCGGCAAUGGACGCAAGUCUGACCGAGCAACGCCGCGUGAUUGAAGAAGGUUUUCGGAUCGUAAAACUCUGUUGUUAGAGAAGAACAAGGAUGAGAGUGGAAAGUUCAUCCCUUGACGGUAUCUAACCAGAAAGCCACGGCUAACUACGUG
rnacentral:rRNA from 1 species